rnacentral:rRNA from 1 species
GACGAACGCUGGCGGCGUGCUUAAUACAUGCAAGUCGAGCGAGAAAGCUCCUUCGGGAGUGAGUACAGCGGCGAACGGGUGAGUAACACGUGGGCAACCUGCCCAAGGGAGCGGGACAACCCGAGGAAACUCGGGCUAAUACCGCAUGAUGUGUCACGUCAUAAGGCGUGACACCAAAAGGUAGCUUCGGCCUCCGCCCUUGGAUGGGCCCGCGGCGCAUUAGCUUGUUGGUGGGGUAACGGCCUACCAAGGCGACGAUGCGUAGCUGGUCUGAGAGGACGAUCAGCUACACUGGGACUGAGACACGGCCCAGACUCCUACGGGAGGCAGCAGUAGGGAAUCUUGCGCAAUGGGCGAAAGCCUGACGCAGCAACGCCGCGUGAGGGAAGAAGGCUCUCGGGUUGUAAACCUCUUUCAGGUGGGACGAAGCUUCCAGGGUUAAUAGCCCAUGGGGUGACGGUACCUCCAGAAGAAGCCCCGGCUAACUACGUGCCAGCAGCCGCAGUAA